rnacentral:rRNA from 1 species
GUUUACCAAAAACAUGGCUUCGUGUAAUUAUCAAAAUGCGAAGUCGGACCUGCCCAGUGAAGUUUAAACGGCCGCGGUACUCUGACCGUGCAAAGGUAGCAUAAUCAUUUGCCUUAUAAUUGAAGGCUGGAAUGAAUGGUUUGACAAGAAUACACCUGUCUCUUUUAGAUUAUUUAGAAUUUUAUCUUUGGGUGAAAAAGCCCAGAUUUUAUUAAUAGACAAGAAGACCCUAUCGAGCUUCAGAAAAAUUAAUAGAGUGGCUAUAUUUAAUAUUAAUUAAAAAAAAGGCUAUUAAAUACUUUGGUUGGGGCAACCGAGGAGUAGACAAAGCCUCCUUUGAAUUAGAAGUCUUACUUGUGAGGACCCAAGAAUUUUGAUCAAAGGAAUUAGUUACCGUAGGGAUAACAGCAUUAUCUUUUUUGAGAGCCCAUAUCGAAAAAAAGGUUUGUGACCUCGAUGUUGGACCAGAAUAUCCUAAAGAUGCAGAAGUCUUUGAGGGUUGGUCUGUUCGACCAUUAAAAUUCUACGUGAUCUGAGUUCAGACCGG